UACGUAGGCAGCAAGCGUUGUUCGGAGUUACUGGGCGUAAAGGGUGUGUAGGCGGUUAUUUAAGUUUGGUGUGAAAUCUCCCGGCUCAACCGGGAGGGUGCGCCGAAUACUGAAUGACUUGGAGUGCGGGAGAGGAAAGUGGAAUUCCUGGUGUAGCGGUGAAAUGCGUAGAUAUCGGGAGGAACACCCGUGGCGAAGGCGGGUCUCUGGGACGGUACUGACGCUGAGACGCGAAAGCGUGGGGAGCAAACAGG
rnacentral:rRNA from 1 species